rfam:Parcubacteria (Nomurabacteria) bacterium GW2011_GWB1_47_6 TY01_C0022, whole genome shotgun sequence.
UGCCUAAACCGCUCUUGCGGCAUGGCGCACAAUCCGUCCAAGGUAGAAAGCUCCCUAUCCAGGAGCACCUUGGACGGUCCCUCCGCGAAAGCGGAGGUGGGUGGCGCAAGCCAUC